UUGGAGGGCAAGUCUGGUGCCAGCAGCCGCGGUAAUUCCAGCUCCAAUAGUGUAUAUUAAAGUUGUUGCAGUUAAAAAGCUCGUAGUUGAAUUUCGGGGUCUGUCUAUCGGUCGGGCUUCACUGUCCGUACUGGUUUGAUGGAUUCUUACCUUCUGAAUAACCAUCAUGCCAUUAAUUUGGUGCGUUGGGGAAGCAGAGCUAUUACCUUGAAAAAAUUAGAGUGCUUAAAGCAGGCUAGCGCUUGAAUAGAUUAGCAUGGAAUAAUGAAAUAGGACGGCAUGGUUCUAUUUUGUUGGUUUCUAGGAUCACCGUAAUGAUUAAUAGGGAUAGUUGGGGGCAUUAGUAUUCAAUUGUCAGAGGUGAAAUUCUUGGAUUUAUUGAAGACUAACUACUGCGAAAGCAUUUGCCAAGGAUGUUUUCAUUAAUCAAGAACGAAAGUUAGGGGAUCGAAGACGAUCAGAUACCGUCGUAGUCUUAACCAUAAACUAUGCCGACUAGGGAUCGGAUGAUGUAUUAUCCC
rnacentral:rRNA from 1 species